GAUGAACGCUGGCGGCGUGCCUAAUACAUGCAAGUCGAGCGAACAGACGAGGAGCUUGCUCCUCUGACGUUAGCGGCGGACGGGUGAGUAACACGUGGAUAACCUACCUAUAAGACUGGGAUAACUUCGGGAAACCGGAGCUAAUACCGGAUAAUAUAUUGAACCGCAUGGUUCAAUAGUGAAAGACGGUUUUGCUGUCACUUAUAGAUGGAUCCGCGCCGCAUUAGCUAGUUGGUAAGGUAACGGCUUACCAAGGCGACGAUGCGUAGCCGACCUGAGAGGGUGAUCAGCCACACUGGAACUGAGACACGGUCCAGACUCCUACGGGAGGCAGCAGUAGGGAAUCUUCCGCAAUGGGCGAAAGCCUGACGGAGCAACGCCGCGUGAGUGAUGAAGGUCUUCGGAUCGUAAAACUCUGUUAUUAGGGAAGAACAAAUGUGUAAGUAACUAUGCACGUCUUGACGGUACCUAAUCAGAAAGCCACGGCUAACUACGUGC
rnacentral:rRNA from 1 species